AGAAGAAGAAGAAGAAGAGACUAACAGGUUGUUUAAAACACUAGCGACAUCUAACGGAAAGGAGGAGAUACUGCAACGGCUCGAUCGUAGAAAUUCAAAGUAAAAGAAAAUACCAAAAACAAAAUCAUGGAUAAAGGGGCCUGCUCUGACAGCACACCACGCCAACCUCUGUGACCCCUCUAUUGAACUUUGACACCACACCACAGUAAUCUGGAGGGCUCCACCGGAGACUGGAGAUGUGCAGUGAGGAGGAGAAAAAAAAAAGAAGAAGAAGCGACAGCUGGAGGGAAGAGAAUCCAACUACUGCUGAGACACAAGUAACAACUCAGAGGCUCGAGUUACCAGACACCCGCAGCACAGCGGCCGAACAUCUGUCACUUGUUACACACGAGAGAGAAGAAGAAUUGAGGGACUGAAUAAAACCACAGAGUGAAAGAAA